rnacentral:lncRNA from 1 species
GCCAUGUCUUGCCAAAGGGCUGCCUUGGGGAGUCAUGUUUGUUUGGUCUCUUUCAGAUGAUCACUCGCGAGUCAAGCUGAGCCAACUGGGGGACGAUCCACAUUCAGACUAUAUCAAUGCCAACUUCAUGCCUGUGAGUGCCCACUUGCCUUCCCCAGGCACAGAGACAGCACAUGGCCACAGAGCACCAGCGGAGAAACUCUGCCUGGAUUCAGGUCAUGAGGGCUGGUGGGCAAGAGCUACCACUGAAACAGUAGCUGGCACAGGCUGUGGCAAGGUCUUGGGAGUUGGGCACAGAUGAAGAGUUGCCUGCUAGCUGGGAUUGAUGGAGAUGAGGAGAGAUGAUGGGUGAUUGCUGUGAAUGCAUAGGUGUCAGUGUGGGGAGACUGGCAAGGCCUUUGCUUUCUCCUUGAGGACUAUCCACUUUCCAAUCUCUCCCAGCUUACUGCCCCAUCUAUCUGUCUGCUCUUUCUCCUUCUGGUCUGUACAGCUGCAUUUGAACAACCCUGGACCUGUGCCCAUGUCCCCCGUCUGGGGGGUUUUCCCAGGUAACAGCCAGGGGCCCACAGCAUGCAUGGGUUUGUGGAUUUGCAGUGCAUGUGUGUGUUGAAGGGACAAAGGCAAAGAAUCAGGCCUGACACCUUGCAUGCUCACCUAACCUCAAGUAAUGGUUGGGGAGCACAAGAAAGACCCUGGUCUGUCUUUACCUGGUUGAAGAUGGAUUAGGAACUCCUUGGAGGGAAGUGUGGGGGGGGGGUUGUAUUUCAUUCCAAAUACGUAGUGAGCAUGUGUUGGGGAGCACACACUUCCUGUGUGGUGGCACCUCUGAGAUCACCUGCUGGGGUAACUGUGCCCACAGGGGCAGCUGGGCUGAGGAAAAUGGGUAUCUCCCCGUCUACCACAAAGGCAGACCAGGCACUGACUCUGUCCCAGGGCAGGACCCACCUGCCUUGGGAACUUGCCAAUUCUUUGUCUGGCUCUUGCUUAGGGCUACACAUCCCAGCAGGAGUUCAUUGCCACUCAGGGGCCCCUGAAGAAAACAAUAGAGGACUUCUGGAGGCUGGUAUGGGAGCAGAACGUCUGCAACAUCAUCAUGUUGACAGUGUGCAUGGAGAAUGGGCGGGUCCUCUGUGA